GUUUUUCUAUUUUCAGAUUCAUGAUAAAUUUGGUGGUAAGGUGUUAAUAAUCAAGGACCAGCUUAGGAUUUGUCGAGCAAAAUUGGGUGAUUCCAUGCAUCCUGUUUGACCCUUGUUUCGAUGACCAUGCAUUCCAAAAGGUUACCCUUAACGUAUUGGAAUUGUUGUUGUUGCUGCUGUUAUUUGUGUGCAUGAAUAAAUUUGUAUUGGCUGGAUGUCAAUGUUGCCUGUGAUAUUAACAUGA